AUAGCGCGGUGGACCCACCUGAACCCAUGCCGAACUCAGAAGUGAAACGCCGUAGCGCCGAUGGUAGUGUGGGGUCUCCCCAUGCGAGAGUAGGACACUGCCAGGC
rnacentral:rRNA from 1 species